GCACCCGUAGCUCAAUUGGAUAGAGCAUCGGUCUACGGAACCGAAGGUUGGAGGUUCGAAUCCUACCGGGUGCGCCA
rnacentral:tRNA from 1 species